ACAAGUACCGUGAGGGAAAGUUGAAAAGUACUUUGAAAAGAGAGUGCAAGAGAACGUGAAACCGGUGUAAUGGAAGCAGAUGGAGUUGACGUAUCUGGCAUGUAUUCAGUUGUUGGUCAUGGCGAUUGCUGUGCUUGUCGUUCCGCAAGGUCGGCGGUACGGUAUUGUCGUUGUGGCUUGCGAUGCAUUUGCGUGCGGAGUGCGCCGAGUUGCGUGGUGGCGUCAAUCGAAGCGUCUCGAGAGGCCACGGCUUUCGGGCUGUGAAACCUUGAUGCGUGUAGGUUGGUUGCUACUGCGUAAUUUUGUGGAAGUGCGGGUUUUUCGCGGGUUCGCGCGUUGAUUUGGUCGGUUUGCGUCGUACGCAUGCGUGCUGCGCUUAUGGAUUAGGUCGGCGUGUGAGCUUGCACUGCGCUCUUCUCGGUGUAUAGUCAAUGACCCACCUGACCCGUCUUGAAACACGGACCAAGGAGUUUAUGGUAUACGCGAGUCAUUGGGCUUCUAAACCCAAAGGCGUAAUGAAAGUGAGAUCUUAUUGGUUUUAAUGUGAUCGGUCGUUGUUUCGACGGCGGCCGAGCAACAUUGCCCCGUUUCGAGGACUUGUCCUGUUGCGGAGGUUGAGCGUAUGCUAUGAGACCCGAAAGAUGGUGAACUAUGCCUGAACAGGAUGAAGCCAGAGGAAACUCUGGUGGAAGUCCGAAGCGGUUCUGACGUGCAAAUCGAUCGUCUGAUUUUGGUAUAGGGGCGCAAGACUAAUCGAACCAUCUAGUAGCUGGUUCCUUCCGA
rnacentral:rRNA from 1 species